rnacentral:rRNA from 1 species
CCAGACUCCUACGGGAGGCAGCAGUGGGGAAUAUUGGGCAAUGGGCGCAAGCCUGACCCAGCAACGCCGCGUGAAGGAAGAAGGCUUUCGGGUUGUAAACUUCUUUUCUCAGGGACGAAGCAAGUGACGGUACCUGAGGAAUAAGCCACGGCUAACUACGUGCCAGCAGCCGCGGUAAUACGUAGGGGGCAAGCGUUAUCCGGAUUCACUGGGUGUAAAGGGAGCGUAGACGGCGACGCAAGUCUGGAGUGAAAGCCCGGGGCCCAACCCCGGGACUGCUCUGGAAACUGCGUCGCUGGAGUACGGGAGGGGCAGGCGGAAUUCCUGGUGUAGCGGUGAAAUGCGUAGAUAUACGGAGGAACACCAGUGGCGAAGGCGGAUUGCUGGACAGUAACUGACGCUGAGGCGCGAAAGCGUGGGGAGCAAACAGGAUUAGAUACCCCCGUAU